UACGUAGGGCGCAAGCGUUGUCCGGAAUCAUUGGGCGUAAAGAGCUCGUAGGCGGUUCGGUAAGUCGGGUGUGAAAUCUCCGUGCUCAACACGGAGCGGCCACCUGAUACUGCCGUGACUCGAGUCCGGUAGGGGAGUGUGGAAUUCCCGGUGUAGCGGUGAAAUGCGCAGAUAUCGGGAGGAACACCAGUAGCGAAGGCGGCACUCUGGGCCGUGACUGACGCUGAGGAGCGAAAGCGUGGGUAGCAAACAGG
rnacentral:rRNA from 1 species